rnacentral:rRNA from 1 species
GACGAACGCUGGCGGCGUGCCUAAUACAUGCAAGUCGAGCGCAGGAAGCAAGGGAUCAUCCUUCGGGGUGUGAACUUGUGGAAUGAGCGGCGGACGGGUGAGUAACACGUGGGCAACCUACCUGUAAGACUGGGAUAACUCCGGGAAACCGGAGCUAAUACCGGAUAACACUUUCUCCUGCAUAGGGAAAAGUUGAAAGGCGGCUUCUGCUGUCACUUACAGAUGGGCCCGCGGCGCAUUAGCUAGUUGGUAGGGUAAUGGCCUACCAAGGCGACGAUGCGUAGCCGACCUGAGAGGGUGAUCGGCCACACUGGGACUGAGACACGGCCCAGACUCCUACGGGAGGCAGCAGUAGGGAAUCUUCCGCAAUGGACGAAAGUCUGACGGAGCAACGCCGCGUGAACGAUGAAGGUUUUCGGAUCGUAAAGUUCUGUUGUUAGGGAAGAACAAGUACCGUUCGAAUAGGGCGGUACCUUGACGGUACCUAACGAGGAAGCCCCGGCUAACUACGUG